AACAGUCUCCGUUGUUGGUGUGGUGUAGUGCAUACAGUUCAUGUUUUCUGUUGGUAACGGGAGCAGAGUGAGUUUGUUCAUUUUUGUGUUUUGAUUUCUGUUCAUUUGAUUUCUGUUGUUGCAUUUUCAUUUGUGCACCACUCGUCUCCCUUCCUGGGAGCCCCGGGAGAGGGAGAAGAAUCCCGAGGCCAGAAUCGCAUCCUGGAUGGGGACUUCCUGGGGCGGGACUGACUGCCGGUCCCCCAAGCCCUCUGUGUCCCCAGUGGCUCCUGCGUCCCUCAGCAGAGCGGGGCAGGAGGUGUCCAUGGCGGCUCCUGGGGCCCGAGCUGAGAAGGCUGUCAGGUGGGACAGGUGCUGUCUGCACGGGGGAGGGAGAAAGGGUUUUCACUGGGAGAUUCAGCCUGCGGGGGACUCAGCUGUGGCGCCUCUGUGUGCAGGGGAGGGGCCAUGGCAGUGCGGGCCCUUCUGUCCUGUGCACAGGGGCUCUGCUGGCCUGUCUGUGGUGGCUCUCCAAGAUUCAAGACCCAAAGAAGCCCAGAAACCUGAUCUGCACCAGCAAGAAGACUUCCUGUGGAAGGACCUCUUGGUGGCCAUGGCUCCUGUGCUGGAGGCCCCUGGCCCAUUCCCCAUGGGUGUGGACGGAGGUCACCACCAUCAUCCACAGGAAGAUGGACUCCGAGACGCCCAGCUCAGAAUCCUCGCCCUUCCAGAAGAGGUGUUGAAUGUCCCUUGUCCUCGCUGCCCCAAGGACAGGACCCCGUGGCUGCUCCAUCUCUGGGGUGCAGCUGCUGCCUGGGAAGAACCUCGUUGCCUCUGUUGCUGCCCAUGGAUUGCCCUGCACUACUGCCUCUGUGCCUGCAACGAACAGAUUUAUGAGUUAGACAGAAAUCAAUUACAUCCAUAA
ensembl:lncRNA